rnacentral:rRNA from 1 species
UACGUAGGGCGCAAGCGUUGUCCGGAAUUAUUGGGCGUAAAGAGCUCGUAGGUGGUUUGUUACGUCUGCUGUGAAAACCUAGGGCUUAACCCUGGGCCUGCAGUGGAUACGGGCAGACUAGAGUUCGGUAGGGGAGACUGGAAUUCCUGGUGUAGCGGUGAAAUGCGCAGAUAUCAGGAGGAACACCCGUGGCGAAGGCGGCUCUCUGGGACGGUACUGACGCUGAGACGCGAAAGCGUGGGGAGCGAACAGG